rnacentral:rRNA from 1 species
GAACGCUGGCGGCGUGCUUAACACAUGCAAGUCGAACGAUGAAGCUUAGCUUGCUAGGUGGAUUAGUGGCGAACGGGUGAGUAACACGUAGGUAAUCUGCCCUGCACUUUGGGAUAAGCCUGGGAAACUGGGUCUAAUACCGAAUAGGACACACUAUCUUUACGGUGGUGUGUGGAAAGCUUUUGCGGUGUGGGAUGAGCCUGCGGCCUAUCAGCUUGUUGGUGGGGUAAUGGCCUACCAAGGCGUCGACGGGUAGCCGGCCUGAGAGGGUGUACGGCCACAUUGGGACUGAGACACGGCCCAGACUCCUACGGGAGGCAGCAGUGGGGAAUAUUGCACAAUGGGCGAAAGCCUGAUGCAGCGACGCCGCGUGGGGGAUGAAGGCCUUCGGGUUGUAAACUCCUUUCGCUAGGGACGAAGAGUUACAUUGACGGUACCUGGAGAAGAAGCACCGGCUAACUACGUGCCAGCAGCCGCGGUAAUACGUAGGGUGCGAGCGUUGUCCGGAAUUACUGGGCGUAAAGAGCUCGUAGGUGGUUUGUCGCGUCGUCUGUGAAAUCCCGGGGCUUAACUCCGGGCGUGCAGGCGAUACGGGCAUAACUUGAGUGCUGUAGGGGAGACUGGAAUUCCUGGUGUAGCGGUGAAAUGCGCAGAUAUCAGGAGGAACACCAAUGGCGAAGGCAGGUCUCUGGGCAGUAACUGACGCUGAGGAGCGAAAGCAUGGGUAGCGAACAGGAUUAGAUACCCUGGUAGUCCAUGCCGUAAACGGUGGGCGCUAGGUGUAGGGGACUUCCACGUCUUCUGUGCCGCAGCUAACGCAUUAAGCGCCCCGCCUGGGGAGUACGGCCGCAAGGCUAAAACUCAAAGGAAUUGACGGGGGCCCG